rnacentral:misc_RNA from 1 species
UUAAGUUCAGCGGGUAUCCCUACCUGAUCCGAGGUCAACCUAGAAAAAUUGGGGGUUUGGGGCAGGAUCACCUCAUGGCCAAAGCGAAAGAAAACUUACUACGCCGGUGCACAUGGGGCUUUCCGCCUUUGAAUUUCGAAAGGGAGAGAGACAAGCUCACUCAUCUUCCAUGACCAAGCAAAAGAGCUUGAGUGGUUUUU